GACAAAACUAAGCUUAAAUAUACUUCAGUUUCUUCAGUCUGUUAGGCUAAACAGAAUAUACAGACAUUCAUGCGUACCAUUAAGUGAAGCUUCACUAGAAAGUUUUAAUACAUGUGGAUGAAAGUAGAAAUCAGGAUGAAUCUGAUGAAAUCUGGUUUUCAUGGAUAUGCAGGAGUUUUCUCUUGGAUUUGUGAGGGAGAAGUCAAUUUGGGUUCUUAUUGUACACAAAGAACAAUCAUAGACAUUGCAAACCUGCUGUUCCUUUCCAUCUUCUAUCUGCUCUUGCUUGUAGGUUGUGUCACAGAACAUGAAAGUAUCGGAAGCAAUAAUACAAGGAACUGGGCAUUUGUCGGUGCUGCAAUCUGUUGUGUCUUUACAGGUAUUGCUUAUACUGGUAUAGGUUUAUGGGAACUGCUGUUACAUGGUCAUGGAGGGUUCAAUAAUUUGGCCUGGGCAAUAUACUUUUUCAGAGGACUAGUUUGGAUCUCUAUUGUAAUCUCCCUGCUAGUCAAAAGAUCCAAAUGGAUCAAAAUUCUUGUAUCUAUAUGGUGGGUGUCAUUUUCUUUGUUGGUUACAGCCCUCAACAUUGAAAUUUUGUUAAGAACACGUAGCAUUCAAGUUUUUGACAUGCUAACCUGGCCUGUAAACCUUCUGCUUCUCUUCUGUGCUUUUAGAAGCUUCAGUCAUUUUUCUUUUGAACAUAUCAGGGAGAACAGUAGUCUAUCUGAGCCUCUGUUAGUUGAAAAAACUGCAAGCAACAGCACAAAAUUAUCCCAUGCUAAUUUUCUCAGCAAAUUGACAUUUUCCUGGCUUAAUCCCUUGCUUUCUUUGGGUUACACCAAACCUUUAGGACUCGAAGAUAUCCCUUCUCUAGUUAGCGAAGAUGUGGCUGAUGUAGCUUACCAAAAGUUUGCUAGAGAGUGGCAUUCAAUUUUGAGAAACAAAAGAACAGACAAUACUGGGAACGUGGUCAUUCAGGCCAUAAGAAAAGUUUACUUGAAGGAGAAUAUAGUGAUAGCAGUAUGUGCUUUCUUCAGAACAAUUGCUGUAGUAGUUCUUCCUCUUUUGCUCUAUGCUUUUGUCAACUGUUCGAAUGGAGAUAAGGGAGAUUUACAUGAAGGUAUCUUUAUAUUGGGGUGCCUAAUUCUUUGCAAAAUAGUUGAGUCAUUGUCGCAGCGACAUUGGUUUUUCAAUUCAAGGAGGUCAGGAAUGAGAAUGAGAUCUGCAUUAAUGGUGGCAGUGUAUCAAAAGCAGCUCAAGCUUUCCAACUUGGGGAGGAGAAGGCACUCAACUGGAGAGAUUGUCAACUACAUUGCAGUUGAUGCGUAUCGAAUGGGAGAAUUCCUUUGGUGGUUCCAUUCAUUAUGGAGCUUCACGUUGCAGCUUUUCUUAUCUAUUGGUGUGCUUGUUGGAGUAGUAGGUCUUGGUGCUGUUCCUGGUUUGCUCCCUAUCUUCAUCUGUGGACUCCUAAAUGUGCCAUUUGCGAAGAUCUUAAAGAACUGUCAAUGCCAACUCAUGAUAGCGCAAGACGAAAGACUUCGAGCAACCUCUGAAAUCCUCAACAGUAUGAAAAUUAUUAAGUUACAAUCAUGGGAAGAAAAAUUCAAGAAGUCGAUCGAAUUACGACGCGCUAAUGAAUUUAAGUGGCUGACUAAAGCACAGUUUAUAAGAGCUUAUGGUGGUGUUGUGUACUGGAUGUCCCCAACUGUCAUAUCCGCAAUUAUCUUCUUAGGAUGUGUUCUCUUCAAGAGUGCUCCAUUUAAUGCUAGCACCAUCUUCUCAGUUCUUGCUGCAUUGAGGAUCAUGGGAGAGCCUUUCAGAGUGAUACCCGAGGCUCUUUCUAAUCUUAUCCAAGUAAAAGUAUCUUUUGAUAGGAUAAAUGGUUUUUUGCUUGAGGAUGAGCUAAGCAAUGAUGAAAUAAGGAGAAUCAAACUUGAGAAAUCUGAUACAAGCAUUAACAUAAAAUCCGGUAACUUCAGUUGGGAUCCACAAGUAAAGGUUCCAACUCUGAGAGAGAUAAAUUUAAAAAUAGACUGGAGACAGAAAAUUGCAGUCUGCGGAUCAGUUGGGGCAGGAAAAUCAUCAUUAUUGGAUGCUAUACUCGGAGAGAUUCCUAAAGUUUCAGGAACUGUGAAUGUAUUUGGUUCCAUUGCUUAUGUUUCCCAGACUUCUUGGAUCCAAAGUGGGACAGUUCGUGAUAACAUAUUGUAUGGAAAAUCAAUGGACGGUGAAAAGUAUGAAAGAGCAAUUAAAGCCUGUGCUUUGGAAAAGGAUAUUGACAGUUUUGACCAUGGUGAUCUCACGGAAAUAGGUCAGAGAGGACUUAACUUGAGUGGAGGACAGAAGCAGAGGAUUCAACUUGCUCGAGCUUUAUAUAACGAUGCUGAUAUCUAUCUCCUUGAUGAUCCUUUCAGUGCAGUGGAUGCCCGUACAGCAGCCACUCUAUUCAAGGAGUACAUCAUGACUGCUCUAGAAAAGAAAACUGUCAUUCUAGUGACUCAUCAAGUGGAGUUUCUGACAGAAGUUGACAGAAUUUUGGUUAUGGAGGGAGGAGAAAUCACUCAAGCAGGAACCUAUCAAGACCUGUUGAUGGCUAGAACUGCAUUUGAAGGGCUUGUAAAUGCUCACAAAGAUGCAAUAACCGUAAAAAAUUCUCCUGUAAUAAUUGAAAGCGAAGAAGAACAUCGACAAACAGAUAUUGUUCAGCAAGAGGAUGGCAACUCUGUUAGAGAGAACAGCAACCGGGAUAUUUUAAUAAAAGGUCUGCCAGGAGUGCAAUUAACAGAAGAAGAAGGAAAAGAGACUGGUGAUAGUGGAUGGAAGGCCUUCAUUGAUUAUAUGAUUGUAUCAAAAGGAUCAUUGCUUCUAUGUUUCAGCUUAUUGGGUCAAGCUGCUUUUGUUGCUCUUCAGGCUCUUUCAACUUACUGGCUAGCUUUUGGCAUUGAAGUUCCUAAAAUCAGUAGCGCCAUGCUAAUUGGUGUUUAUUCUGCAAUUUCAAUGCUCGGUGCCCUUUUCACAUAUGUCAAGUCUAAUCUUAUUGCUCAUCUAGGAUUAAGAGCCUCCAAAACUUUCUUUUCCAGCUUCAACAAUGCAAUUUUUAAAGCUCCCAUGCUUUUCUUCGACUCUACCCCAGUUGGGCGGAUCUUGACCCGAGCUUCAUCAGAUUUAAGUGUUGUGGACUUUGAUGUACCUUACUCAAUUAUCUUUGUGGCUGCUUCUGGCAUGGAGAUUGUAACAACUAUUGGAAUUAUGGCCUCUGUCACAUGGCAAGUUCUCAUUGUAGCAAUUCCAGCUAUGAUAGCAACAAAAUAUGUUCAGGACUAUUAUUUAGCCUCUGCAAGGGAGCUAAUGAGGAUCAAUGGAACAACAAAAGCUCCAGUUAUGAAUUACACAGCUGAGACGUCACUUGGAGUGGUUACAAUCCGAGCUUUCGACAUGGUUGAGAGAUUCUUCAAAAAUUAUUUAAUGCUUGUUGACACAGAUGCUUCGCUUUUCUUUCAUUCAAAUGCAGCCUUAGAGUGGCAAGUUUUGAGAAUAGAGACACUGCAGAAUCUGACUCUAUGUACUGUUACUUUCCUCCUUGUUCUACUCCCUAGGGGCUUAGUACCUCCGGGGCUUGUGGGACUUUCUCUCUCUUAUGCGUUUGCACUCAGUGGAUCUCAAAUUUUCUUUACUAGAUGGUAUUGUAACUUGUCAAACUACAUUAUUUCCGUCGAAAGAAUCAAACAGUUCAUGCACAUAACACCAGAACCUCCAGCAGUUGUGGAAGACAGAAGGCCACCACCUUCAUGGCCUUCCAAGGGUAGGAUUGAGUUGCAAGAACUAAAGAUAAGAUAUCGUCCAAAUGCUCCAUUAGUUCUGAAAGGAAUCACUUGCACGUUUAAGGAAGGGACUAGAGUUGGCGUUGUGGGAAGAACGGGAAGUGGCAAAACUACACUAAUUACUGCCUUGUUUCGCCUGGUAGAACCUCUUAGUGGUCACAUUUUGAUAGAUGAAAUUGAUAUAUGCAGUAUGGGUUUAAAGGAUUUGAGAAUGAAACUCAGUAUCAUCCCUCAAGAGCCAACCCUUUUCCGGGGCAGUGUUCGAACUAACUUAGAUCCUCUAGGACUUUUCUCAGACGAUGAAAUAUGGCAGGCUUUAGAGAAGUGUCAGCUAAAGGACACAAUUUGCAGCCUACCCAAUAAAUUAGAUUCAUCUGUGAGUGAUGAUGGUGAAAACUGGAGCGCUGGGCAGCGACAACUGUUUUGCCUCGGAAGAGUGCUGCUAAAAAGAAACAAAAUUCUUGUACUAGAUGAAGCAACAGCCUCAAUUGACUCGGCAACUGAUGCCAUUCUACAGAGAGUUAUCAAGCAGGAAUUCUCACAGUGCACAAUCAUAACUGUAGCUCAUAGAGUUCCAACUGUUAUAGACAGUGAUACGGUCAUGGUCCUGUCAUUUGGCAAACUGGUGGAGUACGAUGAGCCACUAAAGCUCAUGGAGACUAAUUCAUCCUUCUCCAAGCUUGUAGCUGAAUAUUGGGCCAGUCGCAAAAGCAAAUCUCAUCAAAGUUUUGACAACUAUCACUCCCAUUCAGCUGAUUUCAGUCAAAGCUAAUGGUUCUGAGGAAGGCAGACUCUGGAAGAAGGUGGAAGGCUGUGGCAAACAACGUGACUGGCAUUUUAACAACUUACCCGAACAUUCGUAAACAGAGUUUUCUUGUUUUUCUCAAGAAACUGCAAUGGCGAAAAUUAUUAUCGUUUUCGAUUUCGAUAAGACCAUUAUCGAUUGCGAUAGCGAUAAUUGGGUUGUUGAUGAGUUGGGUUUCACUGAUUUGUUCGAUCAACUUCUUCCCACGAUGCCCUGGAAUUCUCUCAUGGAUACGAUGAUGAAAGAACUCCAUUCCCGAGGAGUAUCCAUUGAAGACAUUGCGGAGGUUCUACAACGGGCGCCGAUUCAUCCUCGGAUCAUUACAGCCAUUAAAUCAGCUCGUGCUUUAGGGUAUGUUUAUUUACGAGUGAAA